GCCACCGCCCUCGCCGCCGCGGGGUCCCUCCCCUCCCUCCGGCCGCCCGGUCCCCGCGGGAUGAAGGGAUCGUAGCGCCGCGGCCGCCUGCGCCAUGAAGCGAAAGACCUGGGCCGAGGCGCGGCGCCGCGCAGCCCCGCCGCCGCCCGCGCUGAAGAGGACGCGGGGCGCGGCGUCGCGGGCGGCGGGGGGCGAGGCGGAGCGGCGGCGGCAGCUGCCUCCCGUCGGGCUGGAGACCUGCCUGAGGAUCGCGGAUCGCCUUUAUUUUGCAAUUCUGUACCAAAAGCCAAAGAGUGGAGCUGCAAAUACCCAUUAUUUCUGCAUAGAUGAUGAACUUGUGUAUGAGAACUUCUAUGCAGACUUUGGACCGCUCAAUCUGGCCAUGGUCUACAGGUACUGCUGCAAGCUAAAUAAGAAAUUAAAGUCAUUUUCAUUGAUAAGGAAGAAAAUAAUUCAUUAUACUGGCUUUGAUCAGAAAAAGCAAGCGAACGCUGCAUUCCUCAUAGGCUCCUACGCAAUAAUAUACCUGAGAGAAUCCCCAGAAGAUGUGUACCGGCUUAUAUUGUCAGGAAGUGUUUCAUACCUUCCUUUCAGGGAUGCUUCCUUUGGUACUUGCAGUUUUCAUCUGACAUUACUGGACUGUUUUCAUGCAAUAAACAAGGCUUUGCAGUAUGGUUUCCUGGAUUUUAGUACGUUUGAUGUAAAUGAAUAUGAGCAUUAUGAAAGAGCAGAAAAUGGAGAUUUUAACUGGAUAAUACCAAACAAAUUCAUUGCCUUCAGUGGACCUCAUUCAAGAAGUAAAAUUGAAAAUGGCUAUCCCCACCAUGCUCCAGAGGCUUAUUUCCCAUACUUCAGGCAACAUAAGGUCACCACUAUAGUACGCCUCAACAAAAAAUUGUAUGAUGCCAAACGAUUUACAGAUGCUGGAUUUGAGCAUUUUGAUCUCUUCUUUGCUGAUGGAAGCACACCUAGUGAUACUAUAGUUAAAACAUUUCUAAAUAUUUGUGAAAAUGCUGAAGGUGUAAUAGCUGUUCAUUGCAAAGCUGGUCUUGGACGAACUGGCACACUUAUUGCUUGUUACAUCAUGAAGCACUAUCGGAUGACAGCUGCUGAAACUAUUGCCUGGAUCAGGAUAAAUAGACCUGGUUCUGUGAUUGGACCACAACAGCACUUCCUGAUGGACAAACAGGCAGAACUUUGGACAGAAGGGGAUAUUUUCCGUGCAAAGUUGAAAGGAAACCAUAAAAUUGCUGUAACAAGAAUUCUGUCAGGAGUAGAUGAUAUUUCAAUUAAUAACACAAGAAACAGGAGAACCAUCCAAAAGGACAUUGAACUGUACAGUGAUGAUGAUGAAACAAACUGUUUAACACAAGGGGAUAAGCUUCGUGCUCUGAAAAGCAGAAGGCAAGCAAGAGCUCCAGCUGCAUCUCCACUAGGAUGGCUCCUAGCUAUGCUGGUGUCUACACUGUGUAGCAUUGUCAUCUGGUGGAUUGUUUGUGGCUCCCUUCUGCCCAGCCUGCUAUUCUGUCUAGAUGGUUUAAGAACAUAGUAACCAUCAGGAUCCCCUGAAAGAGAGCCACUGUAGUAACUCUGCAUUCCAGUGUUCAGAAAAAUAAAACCUCUGAACCUAGCAUUUCUGACAGUACAGACAUUACUAAAAGAACUACCAGGUCUGCUGCAAGAAAAAACAGUUUAAAAAGCCAAUCCGUCACAAAGACUAGAACAGUAUUGCGUUGAAUUUUGAAUAAGCCACCAGUCUUGAAGAGGAUAUUCAGGAGUGAAGGGGAUAUAGAAGGGACUUGAUGCAAUUCAAGGAAGAUCACUUUGGCUGUAUUUUUCAGCAAAAAAUGAAAUAGAACAACCUCUUUCUUGCCUGUAGAAUAAAAUGAACUGUCAACAUGUUUGGUAGACCUUUUUCUACCGUCCUAACACUUUCUCAAAACGAAACAAAAUCUACAUACAUUCAGACUCAGGUGUAAAUAUUUUAAGCUCUCUAUUAUAAAGAGGGCUUGCCAGUAUGUAUGAUGCAUGUGUAUGAAUUGUGAUGGCAAUCACUUAGCUGCUGACCACCAGAUGGUGGGAGCUUUUAAGUAUAUAAAUCUGUGUUCUGCAUUCAGACUGGGCUUAAGUCUUCACUUGAGUCUGAGAAUCAACCACAAAAGCUUUUUUUUCUAACAGUAUUGGUACUCUCCUGUGUUGAUUGGCUGUUCUUUCUUACUUUGUAUGAAGUUUUUUAUGAAGCUGCAGUAUUGAGUACACAAUGUAACUAUUGUCCACCAAAGAGUGCUUUAUUGUCAAAGGUUGUGUGGUUUAUUUAGGAAAAAAUAAUUGUGACUGAUUAACUUGUUUGUAAUAGUGACAGCUUUUUAGUUGUUCACAACCAAUUGCUCUUUGAAAUAGUCAUAACUGCUUUAAAUCUGGUAUGAUUUUAAAGAGGGGGGAAACACUACCAUUUAAAGCAGUGCUGCCAUAUUGAAAUGUCAUUGCUGUUUCUUUUCCUGUCAAGUCCUUUAGGUGAAACUUUAAAUUACUAUAUAUGAAAGGUAAGAAUUCUCCCCAGAUUUGAUUGGUACACCUGGUAACCUGGACAGUGCUGGUUUUUUACUUUGUGACAGUUAAAGAAUGCAGCACACAUAAAAAAGGGAAAAUAAGGGUGCCAUACAACUGAGGUAGUAGAAUUCAGAGGCAGGUAAAAAUUUUGACAGCUAAUGCUUUAAGAACUACAAUUUGCCUCUGUUAAAAAGCAGUGUAAUUUUUAGAGGAAUCUGCUUGAGACUGAAAUUUUCAUUCCCUAUAGGACUACAGUGUUAUUUUUUUUCCUACUACUUUUCACAUUAUGACAUUUCAAAAGUGAUGUACCCUUGUCCACCAGCUGAUGGUUAUAGCUGCAUAUCCCUCAGAUGAGGGCUGUUACCACAUAGCCUUAAAUAUAAAUCAGUUAUUUGUUGGUUUAAUAACUCUUACAAUAGAAAGCAGAAGAAAUGGAGAAAUCUGAAAUGUUAGUAUUGGAAUAAUUGAAGUUUUUAAAGAUGCAUAUUAUCUCUGUGAGAGAGGGAAAUUUAUUUCAAUGAAUGUAGAUCUGCAGUGACUAGUUUUAAUCCACAUCCUUUUAAAUAGAUACUAAGCUUCCUGUUAGGCUGAUGACUUUUGAGUGCCAGUAUGAAUAUCACACAGUGGUUUUAAAACAUUUGAAUCAUGAACUGUAGAGGAAACAGGAUGUGAAAUGUAAGCAAGCUUACAGGUAACAUCCAUGUGCUUAGCUAGACAAAAAUCUGCAAAUAUGAAUACAAAUUAAAAAGAAAAGGUUUAAUGCAAAAUAAAGGAUCAUUGAAGGCUCAGACCGAAAAUAUCUUUUUUGUUUUCUUCUUAAACUUCCCUUUUCACCCCCUUUUCUUGUAGCUAAAAAGCUUCUAAAAGAGAGGGACUGAUCAUCCUGAUAAGGCAAUUAAAAUUCCUUAGGGUUUGAAUGGGAUUGGUUGAUUUGGUUUGGGUGGGAGGUUAUUUGGUUUUUUGGGGGUUGUUGCAGUUUAGAGGUUUUUGGGUUUGGUUUGUUUGGUCAGGGUUUUUUAGUCGGGGUUGUGUGGUUCAGGUUGGUUUUCUUGGUUGGGUGGCUUUUUUAGUUAGGUAGUUCUGCAAAAGCUUACGUACAGGCAACCACAGUAGUAGGUUUGUUGUGCAAACAUGAAUCUGCUCAUUUUUGAACAAAAUUCUCAUCUUGGAAGGCAAAACGGAUGCAAAUUGUGAAGUGAGAAUCAGAAUAAAGAUUCAGUAGUAUUUUCUGUGUUUGGCUUUGCCCUUCUCUCAGCUGAGCUGCAUGUUUUAGCAUCCUUUUUUUAAGUUAAAAAUAAUUUGUCUCCAUCUCACACCUUCCAAAUUCCAAAUCAAAAUUUGCCUCAUUUAAAGUAACUAGCAGAGUCAUUAGCACUUCUAGGUUUAUAAUGUUAGUGCCUAACAAUAGCAUAAUGUUAGUCCACAAAAAAUAGCAACUCUAGCUAAACCAAAACUGCAUGUUUGGCAUCAGUGUGUUUCAGGAUACCCCAUCCACAACACAGUACCUUGGUGAAAAACACAUAAAUGUCAAAGGGAUAUUACAUUUUAACUUUCGAAACAGCCUUUUAUGGAAAAUUAACCCAUUACCUCAUUGUGCCCCCCCAAUUGUACUGUUUAGUUUGUUACAAACUUUCAUUACCUUGUAUAAUAUUUUUAACGUACCAUACCAGAGGUGUUUUAGGUAAAAGAAUGAAGAGUGGGCAUGGAUGAGGAAGUCUUUGGUUUCUAGAUUUUUUCUGAAUUGUGAAUUAUUACAUGCCAAAAUUGAACAUCUUGUGGUAGUUACAUCACCUUUGUACAACAGAAGUUGUUUCUACUGUCAGCAGUUAGGAGAUUCUGCUUAGAAAUUCUCUUUCAAAUGUGACAGAUGGAUUCCCCCUCAAUCUAUUAACUCAAAAUACACUACAUGAUCAAAAGCUGUAAUAUCUUGGGUGAAAUUUCUACUUUGUAUUACAGCAUCAAAAACACUCAGAUGUUAACCUAGACCCUGUCUUUUUGCCUCAGUAUGACAGUAGAGGAAGCACUGCUGAUUUAAAACAAUAAGAGAUGAUAGAAAAAAACAAUACAAAACAUACAUGUGAUGUUCAGCAGUUUGUUGCACUGCAGUUUUUAUAUUAAUUGUUUGCAGACUGUCAUAUGUCAUAUAUAAACAUGGGUAAACACAGACUAUCAAGGUCUAAAAGUUUUUGACUAAUCAGUACUGUUCAUCCUGAUUAUUUUUAAACUGUAUAUUUCUAAUCAUAUUUUUUUAACUAGGAUUGACAGAAUGAAAGUUUAUUUUGCUGAAGGUAUUUUUAAGAUAAAACUUCAUAUUAUCUUGUAAUAUUAAUUAGUUCAAUAUGCAUUUCUGUGUCAUUUGAAAAUACUGCAGACUGCAUUUUAUAGAAAAUACUGAAUAGUGAGAAGUGUAAACAUGAAUUGUGUAAAAUUAAAAAUAAUCAGAAGGGU